rnacentral:rRNA from 1 species
AGUAACACGUGGAUAACCUACCUAUAAGACUGGGAUAACUUCGGGAAACCGUAGCUAAUACCGGAUAAUAUUUUGAACCGCAUGGUUCAAAAGUGAAAGACGGUCUUGCUGUCACUUAUAGAUGGAUCCGCGCUGCAUUAGCUAGUUGGUAAGGUAACGGCUUACCAAGGCAACGAUGCAUAGCCGACCUGAGAGGGUGAUCGGCCACACUGGAACUGAGACACGGUCCAG